GAGAAGCAUUAGUAUAGGAGGCCUCUGCUCUUAGCGGUCUUAGGAAGAGACCCUUGCUUCCACGAGAGGCAAGAGCUCACCAUCCAGCUGCCUUUUCAAGUACACUAAGCACUCUAUAAAUGCCACUGUCACAGAAAGAGGAGCCCAGCUUCAGGAUUCAGGUCAGCAAGUUAAGACUACUUCAAGGUCCCCAGCAAUUCACUUCUUUCUUCUGAAGUGGCCAGGAAAGCCGGCUCCCGGGUUUUCCUGCAGGAAGUGUGCCUCAGCAUGAAAACUGCA
rnacentral:lncRNA from 1 species